rnacentral:rRNA from 1 species
CGCGCCCCGCGCCCGUCCCGCCGCCCCCGCCCGCCUACGGGAGGCAGCAGUGGGGAAUCUUAGACAAUGGGCGCAAGCCUGAUCUAGCCAUGCCGCGUGAGUGAAGAAGGCCUUAGGGUCGUAAAACUCUUUCGCCAGAGAUGAUAAUGACAGUAUCUGGUAAAGAAACCCCGGCUAACUCCGUGCCAGCAGCCGCGGUAAUACGGAGGGGGUUAGCGUUGUUCGGAAUUACUGGGCGUAAAGCGCACGUAGGCGGACUGGAAAGUUGGGGGUGAAAUCCCGGGGCUCAACCUCGGAACUGCCUCCAAAACUAUCAGUCUAGAGUUCGAGAGAGGUGAGUGGAAUUCCAAGUGUAGAGGUGAAAUUCGUAGAUAUUUGGAGGAACACCAGUGGCGAAGGCGGCUCACUGGCUCGAUACUGACGCUGAGGUGCGAAAGUGUGGGGAGCAAACAGGAUUAGAUACCCUGGUAGUCCACACCGUAAACGAUGAAUGCCAGUCGUCGGCAAGUAUACUUGUCGGUGACACACCUAACGGAUAAGCAU